AUGGGUUUCAUGAAUCACCAUAUCCAGAGAUUUGUCGACACAGCUUGUUGCCAGGAGCUGAUCGAGCACCUUGAGGCCAAAGUGAGUGCUGACAGUGCGAAAUUUCAGUCUCUCAUCGAUUUGUUCAUACCAACCAUCGACAGCGAGCACAACAUAUGCUACACCCAACCUGAGAAACUUCCAGGUAUCACACUGAGUGGCCUAAGGAAGCAAUUCUUCCAGCGCAAUUCCAAGGCGUUCAAAAGGGGCACGUGGACGCGUCGCAAGAUACAGUCGGAGUGCAGCAUGCACGCGAUGUGGCACAAGACCGGCAAUACCUUGCCGGUGAUGGUCAACGGCCGGCAGACGGGCAGCUAA
rnacentral:rRNA from 1 species